rnacentral:rRNA from 1 species
UACAGAGGUGGCAAGCGUUGUUCGGAAUUACUGGGCGUAAAGGGCGCGUAGGCGGCCUUCUAAGUCGGACGUGAAAUCCCCAGGCUUAACUUGGGAACUGCGUCUGAUACUGGGAGGCUUGAGUGCGGGAGAGGGAUGUGGAAUUCCAGGUGUAGCGGUGAAAUGCGUAGAUAUCUGGAGGAACACCGGUGGCGAAGGCGGCUUCCUGGACCGAUACUGACGCUGAGGCGCGAAAGCUAGGGGAGCAAACGGG